CUACACUACAUUACAAUAUUUUUAAAUCAAUUGAUACGCUUGCCACAAAAUAUAGUUGGUAUGGAAAAAAAGGAAAAAAGGCCUUCAUGGAACUAUUGACAUCAAAGUUGAUUAUAAAAACUGUACAUAUGAUUCAGACACAAUGUACUGACACACAAAUAACAGAAGCUGCCUCAAUAUGGCUUGCUCAAGCACCAACAGAUUUG